AUACCCUGGUAGUCCUCGCAGUAAACGAUGAAUAAUAAUUAUGUGCUCCGAAUGAGGGGUGCGUGAUACAGCGAAAGCGUUAAGUAUUCCACCUGGGGAGUACGCCGGCAACGGUGAAACUCAAAGGAAUUGACGGGGGGCCGCACAAGCGGAGGAACAUGUGGUGUAAUUCGAUGAUACGCGAGGAACCUUCCCCGGGCUCAAACGCAGGAGGAAUGUUUUUGAAAGGAGGCAGCUCUACGGAGUCUCCUGCGAGGUGCUGCAUGGUUGUCGUCAGCUCGUGCCGUGAGGUGUCGGCUUAAGUGCCAUAACGAGCGCAACCCCUACCGCCAGUUGCCAACGGGUUAUGCCGGGAACUCUGGCGGGACUGCCGGCGCAAGCUGAGAGGAAGGCGGGGAUGACGUCAAAUCAGCACGGCCCUUACGUCCGGGGCGACACACGUGUUACAAUGGCAGGUACAGCGGGAAGCCACUUGGCGACAAGGAGCGGAACCCGAAAACCUGUCUCAGUUCGGAUUGGAGUCUGCAACCCGACUCCAUGAAGCUGGAUUCGCUAGUAAUCGCGCAUCAGCCACGGCGCGGUGAAUACGUUCCCGGGCCUUGCACACACCGCCCGUCAAG
rnacentral:rRNA from 1 species